UACAGAGGGCGCAAGCGUUGUUCGGAAUCAUUGGGCGUAAAGCGUGCGUAGGCGGCUCGGUAAGUCGGGGGUGAAAUCCCGGAGCUCAACUCCGGAACUGCAUUCGAUACUGCCGAGCUUGAGGACGGGAGAGGAGACUGGAAUUUACGGUGUAGCGGUGAAAUGCGUAGAUAUCGGAAAGAACACCAGUGGCGAAGGCGGGUCUCUGGGCAGUUCCUGACGCUGAGACACGAAAGUCAGGGGAGCGAACGGG
rnacentral:rRNA from 1 species